rnacentral:rRNA from 1 species
GACGGAGGGUGCUAGCGUUGUUCGGAAUUACUGGGCGUAAAGCGCGCGUAGGCGGCUUUGUAAGUUAGAGGUGAAAGCCCGGGGCUCAACUCCGGAAUUGCCUUUAAGACUGCAUCGCUAGAAUCCGGGAGAGGUGAGUGGAAUUCCGAGUGUAGAGGUGAAAUUCGUAGAUAUUCGGAAGAACACCAGUGGCGAAGGCGGCUCACUGGACCGGCAUUGACGCUGAGGUGCGAAAGCGUGGGGAGCAAACAGG